GAAGACACCAAAAUCCCUUGUUUUUUUCCCCAAACCCUCAAAAACCACCAAAAUCCCUCAAAUUUUCCCCUCUCCCUCUCCCAGGAUCCUAACACCCCCCUCUCACUCACUCCCUCAUCACUCUCCCUCUCUCUCUCUCUCUCUCUCUCACUCAGUUCUCUCUCCCUCACUCCAGCGCACGUUUCUCUCUCUCUCUCUGGCGCACUCAACUCUCUCCGGCGCACCUCUCUCUGGUAUGCAAAUUUUUGGAGGUCUCCAGGUUGUCAUUUUUACGGGAGUAUGGUUCAAAAUUGAAAGAAGGUUAUGUAAUGUUGAAGCAUCUACCAAGGGUUGAUUCUGAUGUGAAAUGUUGGGUGUUACGUUGGUCCAGUUGUUGCCAAAGCAAUUAGGUCCAAUGCAAUUGCCUUCUGAUAGUUCUGGUAAUCUAUAUCCCAAGCCUUUGAACUUUCUUCUGCCAGAGAAUUAGAUGGUAUAAGUAAUUGAACCUGCCAGAGGCCAAUUUCAAAUUUAUAAGAUUGUGCCACUUGUGGAAAUCGGAGCAUAAAGUUAAGAACCACAAGUAGUGCCGAAGUUAAAGAAUGGGUUACAGCAAUCAACAAUGCUGGUCUAAAAUCUCAAGAGAGUUGGUGCCAUUCUCAACGUUUUGAUUCCUAUGCUCCCCAGAGAGGUUUGAUAGAAGAUGGAAGCCAGGCUCAAUGGUUUAUAGAUGGGAAGCGGCCUUUGAAGUAAUUGCUUCUUCAAUAGAAAAUGCAAAAUUAGAGGUGUUUUUUUUUUUUUAACACAUAAUAUAUACAACUCAUGCCAGUGUC